rnacentral:rRNA from 1 species
ACUCCUACGGGAGGCAGCAGUGGGGAAUCUUGGACAAUGGGCGCAAGCCUGAUCCAGCCAUGCCGCGUGAGCGAUGAAGGCCUUAGGGUCGUAAAACUCUUUCGCCAGGGAUGAUAAUGACAGUACCUGGUAAAGAAACCCCGGCUAACUCCGUGCCAGCAGCCGCGGUAAUACGGAGGGGUUAGCGUUGUUCGGAAUUACUGGGGCGUAAAGCGCGCGUAGGCGGAUUAGUUAGUCAGAGGUGAAAUCCCGGGGCUCAACCCCGGAACUGCCUUUGAUACUGCUAGUCUUGAGUUCGAGAGAGGUGAGUGGAAUUCCGAGUGUAGAGGUGAAAUUCGUAGAUAUUCGGAGGAACACCAGUGGCGAAGGCGGCUCACUGGCUCGAUACUGACGCUGAGGUGCGAAAGUGUGGGGAGCAAACAGGAUUAGAUACCCUUGUAGCACAGGG